GAUGAAGAACGCAGUGAAAUGCGAUAAGUAGUGUGAAUUGCAGAAUUCAGUGAAUCAUCGAAUCUUUGAACGCACAUUGCGCCUCCUGGUAUUCCGGGAGGCAUGCCUGUUCGAGCGUCAUUAAAAUCACUCAAGCUUAGGUUUACCUAUUGCUUGGUCUUGGAGAUGGAAGCCAAUUUAUUGGAAUCCUCUUCGAAAUUCAAUGGCGAAGACCCUUGCUCUCCCAAGUGUAGUAAUAACUUAUGUCACUGAAGGAAGCGAGAAAUCUUCUGCCGUAACCCCCAUAUUUUCUAUGAUUGACCUCGGAUCAGGUAGGGAUACCCGCUGAACUUAAGCAUAUCAAUAAGCGGAGGA
rnacentral:misc_RNA from 1 species